UACGGAGGAUGCGAGCGUUAUCCGGAUUUAUUGGGUUUAAAGGGUGCGUAGGCUCGCUCUCAAGUCAGGGGUGAAAUGCCGGGGCUUAACCUCGGAGCUGCCUUUGAUACUGUGGGUCUUGAAUUCGGAUGCCGUGGGAGGAAUGAGUAGUGUAGCGGUGAAAUGCAUAGAUAUUACUCAGAACACCGAUUGCGAAGGCAUCUCACGAAUCCGACAUUGACGCUGAGGCACGAAAGCGUGGGGACCAAAC
rnacentral:rRNA from 1 species